GAUGCCACUUAUUGAUAUUUGAAAAGAGGUAAAAAUGAAAUAUGAAGACAGAAAAUCCCAUCAUGUAUCAGAAGGCAUGGAAUGAAAAGAAAGAGCCUUCUACCAGGACCUCCUGCACCACCCAAGAGUGCCAUUUUCUCAGGCACUGAGAAGGGCCCCUCCAACAGGGCAGUGACCUGCUUGCCACAACCCACCUUGGCAAAAUCAAUGGAUAUGCCCAGGACUCCAGGAAGCAGUGGCCUCAGAGAGCUUGGUGAGGAAGCAAAGGGCAGGUGAUGACUCACUUCAUGCCCUUAACUCAGGCUCUCCUACUCCUGAAGCCUCAGUUUCCCCACUUGGGGUGUGGUGAUAAUCAUCCACUCAGCCAUGAUGCUGGGGAGUGCUGACA
rnacentral:lncRNA from 1 species